AAAAACGUUCACACAUCAAAUAUCAAACUUACAACAAUUUCGGCCUUUGUAUCAAAAUUAACCGUAACUGUAUUUUUUUUAAAAAAUUUAUAAAUGAACCAAUAUUAAAGAGUAUUAACAAGAAAUUAAUUAAAAGAGCAAAUAUAAUACAUAUGUACUUAAACUCACAUAUAUAGUAAUAUAGUACAUAUAUGUAUUUCUAUUCAUGGACCUAAAAAAUUGUGUUCCAUAUCUACCAUAUCAACUACCAUUGUAAAUACUGGCAAGCCUGCAAAAAGUAUUGACCGCCCUUAUUUGAUGCAUACUUCCUUCCUUCCUUCCUUUCUGGUACACUUAAAAACACAUUUACUUAUGUAUCAUAUAAUGAUAUUGUCACCCAUACCGAGUUCAUUCGCGUAUAGUGGAUGCCACGGUAGUUUGUGAUGUAAGCCAAUGCAAUAAAACAUAUCAGGUGUGGAAGUGAAGAUAAAAUACCGGAUGUGCUAUUAACCUGACUGUAACUAAACACCAGUUUGAGAUGUUAUCCGCAUACUAUUACACUUGAGAUUGAAACUUCUUUCCAGUUUCUUAAGAACUCUCUGUUCCAAUAUUUAACGGAAGGUCUAAGCUGCACAAUUCUUUGGACAAAAAGAUGAUUUAUGUAUCGCCUAAAUAUCAGACCGUUCUCAAUGUGAAAUCAAUAGCCGAUGAUAAACUCAAAUUGAAUACCUAUUUUCGCCUAAAUUAUUAAUAAAUAAAAUUUACGGACGAAA